AACGCACAUUGCGCCCUUUGGUAUUCCUUAGGGCAUGCCUGUUCGAGCGUCGCAAAAACCCAGAUCACCUAGAGUGUGGUAUUGGCAGAAGUGGCCGGGGCUAUCAGCGCUGCUGCCACUCUGCUGGAAUGAAUAGGCUGGAAAAGUAGAUCAUAGCAACAGACUUUCACAGUAUUUUGAAAUGCUAAAUUAGUUCGAAGCUGAUCGGAACCUAAGCCAUUUGACCCCCAUCCUGCGUAAAGCAGUAAGGUUGACCUCGGAUCAGGUAGGGAUACCCGCUGAACUUAA
rnacentral:misc_RNA from 1 species